rnacentral:rRNA from 1 species
GGAAUGAAACUAGUCUACCUGCCCACUGAAAUUUUAAAUGGCCGCAGUAUAUUAACUGUGCAAAGGUAGCAUAAUCAUUAGUCUUUUAAUUGAAGGCUGGAAUGAAUGGUUGGACGAGAUAUUAACUGUUUCAAAUAAAUUUAUUAAAGAAUUUUAUUUUUUAGUCAAAAAGCUAAAAUUUUUUUAAAAGACGAGAAGACCCUAUAAAUCUUUAUAAUUUAUUUAUUAUAAUAAUAAAGAAUAAUUUUUUUAUGAUAAAUUAAAUUAUUUUAUUGGGGUGAUAUUAAAAUUUAAUGAACUUUUAAUUAGUUAAAUCAUUAAUUUAUGAAUUUUUGAUCCAAUUUUAUUGAUUAAAAAUUUAAGUUACUUUAGGGAUAACAGCGUAAUUUUUUUGGAGAGUUCAUAUCGAUAAAAAAGAUUGCGACCUCGAUGUUGGAUUAAGAGAUAUAUUUAGGUGUAGCCGCUUAAAUGAUUAAGUCUGUUCGACUUUUAAAUUCUUACGUGAUCUGUUUUAAAACCCGGA